rnacentral:rRNA from 1 species
GUCACGAGUGGCAACCAUAUUUAUUGGGUCUAAAGGGUCUGUAGCCGGUUGGUUAAAUCUCUUGUGAAAUCGUUAAACUCAACUUAACGUUGUGCGAGAGACACUGGCCAACUUGGAACCGGGAGGAGGUAGGAGUAUUCUUUGGGGAGCGGUAAAAUGCUAUAAUCCUAAGAGGACUACCUGUGGCGAAGGCGCCUACCUAGAACGGGUUCGACGGUGAAUGACGAAAGCUGAGGGAGCGAUCAGGAUUAGAUACCCUAGUAGUCUCAGCUGUAAACUCUGCGAGCUAUGUGUUGCAUGUUCUUAGUGGACAUGCAGUGCCUAAGCGAAGGUGUUAAGCUCGCCACCUGGGAAGUACGGCCGCAAGACUGAAACUUAAAGGAAUUGGCGGGGGCUCACUACAACGAGUGCGGCGUGCGGUUUAAUUGGAUAAUACGCCGAGAAUCUCACCAGGAACGAAGGCAGGAUGAAGGUCAGAUUGAAGGUCUUACCUAACAGGCCGAGACGGUGGUGCAUGGCCA